AGCUCCAAUAGCGUAUAUUAAUGUUGUUGCAGUUAAAAAGCUCGUAGUUGGAUUUCUGGCUUGGAGAGGCCGCCCAUCGCUUCGCGAUGUGGUUUGACCUUCUCUAGUCAUCCUUGUGGAAAGUGUGUCUGGUAUUCAUUUAUCGGGCAUAGGAUCUGCAUCGUUUACUGUGAAAAAAUUAGAGUGUUUAAAGCAGGCAUUUUGCCUUGAAUACAUUAGCAUGGAAUAAUAAGAUAGGACUUUGGUACUAUUUUGUUGGUUUGCAUACCAAAGUAAUGAUUAACAGGAACAGUUGGGGGUAUUCGUAUUUAAUUGUCAGAGGUGAAAUUCUUGGAUUUAUAAAAGACGAACUACUGCGAAAGCAUUUACCAAGGAUGUUUUCAUUA
rnacentral:rRNA from 1 species